ACCUAUACGGUUCUCUGCCGUGUAUAUUAGUGCAUGGUAAGAAUCGAAUUCGACCUAUGGUCGAAUAAAUUCUUUGGCUAGCCUCUUCGGGGGCUAA
rnacentral:misc_RNA from 1 species